CAGACCUUGGUGAGUGGCGGACGGGUGAGUAACACGUGGGUAACCUGCCCAGAAGUGGGGGAUAACAUUUGGAAACAAGUGCUAAUACCGCAUAACAACAUUUAUCUCAUGAUUUUUGUUUAAAAGAUGGUUCUGCUAUCUCUUCUGGAUGGACCCGCGGCGUAUUAGCUAGUUGGUGAGGUAAUAGCUCACCAAGGCGAUGAUACGUAGCCGACCUGAGAGGGUAAUCGGCCACAUUGGGACUGAGACACGGCCCAAACUCCUACGGGAGGCAGCAGUAGGGAAUCUUCCACAAUGGACGAAAGUCUGAUGGAGCAACGCCGCGUGAGUGAAGAAGGUUUUCGGAUCGUAAAACUCUGUUGUUGAAGAAGAACAUAUGUGAGAGUAACUGUUCACGUACUGACGGUAUUCAACC
rnacentral:rRNA from 1 species